rnacentral:lncRNA from 1 species
GAAUAAUCUUUGUUAUCUUGAAUCCUUGGGCAACGGAGUAAAGUCACAAAUUCUUCCAUCGCCCUUCUUGUGUUUCUAGGAAUAUAUUCAGGCAACCGUAUUAUUUUCCAUUUUAUCAAGAAAUCCAUUUUCUUAUGACAAGCUUUCUAAGUUAGUAAUCGAAUGUGAAUCAACACCUCUUUUAAUGAAAUGUCAUGUCAUGCAAUAAAACACGAAAAGUCAGUACCAUAUUUAAACAUUGAAAGCAAUCAAGAAAUAGUAGAAACACCUAUUCGGGCAUCUACUAGGGUUCAGUGUAGCUCUGCCUAGUGUGGAUUCCUAAAGUUCACUAUAUGAGGUUUGGCUUCUAGAGCAAAGGUACCCGAACCAGCAGAUUCCUCGAUCCUCACCCAUUAUAGGCUCAUAUGAAUCGAGUUCAGUUCAGGGGAAUACAUUUUCCUAUGGCUGCACGGAGAUGAAAAUCUCACGAAGACAUAGGUACGGAUGUAUCCCGAAAGUGGUCCACUACCCUGCACGGAGGUGAAAACCUCACGAAGAACUAGUUUCUCGCUCCCACUUAAAAGAGUAAAAUUAUUCGACUCAUGUAAUGUGUAAUGCAAACAAUACUUAAAUCCAUUAAGCAAGAAAUAAUGAAUGCAACAGGAUACCAUGAAAUUUUAAAAAAAAAAUUCUCGACCAUAAGACAAGAAUUAAUCAACUUUGUGGCUCGACUCUCUUUUUUAAAAAAGUCCCUAGUAGAGUCACCAAGCUGUCGAAACCAACUUUUAUUUUGAAAAAACAAAAAUUAGUUGUCGAUGAAAAUUUGGAGUCGCCACCAAUCUUUUAUUAAGGUGUGAUUGGACCACCUAAAAAUGACAUUGGUCUACGAGUUUUAGAAAAACAGGUUCGGGAGUCAGUUACGUUCGAGGAAGGAUUAGCACCCUCGUAACGCCCAAAAAUUGGUACAAAAUUGAUUAAUUAAUGUCUUAAAGUCGAGAGUUAAAAAAAUGUGAUCCUUAUUUAAAUAUUAUUAUUUAUUGAGACUCACCCAUUUUGAAAAAGAAAACGUCACACCCAAUGCGUUAGGGCACGACAUUUUAUUUCUUCAAAAAUGAGUUUGUCCAAAAUACUCGUGUAAUAAAAUUUAAGAGAAUAUUCAUUUAUUUAAAAUUUAUAAGGAAAUCGUGACCCAAUACGUUAUACGUUAGGGCACAAUUUCUCAAAAUUCUAAACAUUGAAUAUUUUAUUUUAUUGUUUUUUUUAGAAAAAUCUUUAUCUCGAGAAAUCAACGCGUCACAUCCAAUACGUUAGGACACCACAUGUUGAAUUCCCGAUGACAAUUUUUAUUUUGUUUGAUUAAAGAGCAAUUCCCGAUUGUUAGAUUUUACGAAGAAAAUCAGAACCCAAUACGUUAGGGCUCAAUUUUCUUGAAAAUCCUAAAUACGAGUAUUAUCUCUAUUUUGAAAUUUUUCUAUUUUUAAACUCGAAUAAAAAAUGUAAUGUUAUAUUGGAUGUAUGUAUAAAUGUAGCAAUAACAAAUAAUAAAUACAACAACGAUAUAGAAAGAACAUAAAGAGCAAAUAAACGAAAUUAAAAAAACAAUGAAAUACGAAAUAUCUAAUAAAUGAACAAAAAUAAAUAAUAAUAAAAAAAAUAUCCUUUAGAAAAUAAAUGAAAAUACAAAUAAAUAAACGAGUGAAAGAAAUAAACAAAAUUAUAAAAUAAAAAUAAAAUAAAAAAUAGAAUAUAAAGUGUGUAUAUAAUAUGUAUAUUGAAAUUAUGAAGAAAAAAAAACAUGGAUUUACAUAUAAAAUUUGGGAUUAUAGAAUUUAAAUAACAAAAUAUAUAAUGUAUUUCUGAAAAUAAAGAAAAAAAUAUAAAAAUAUAUAUAUAAAUUAUAAAAUUUGUGUCAAAAAUAUAAGUAGGUAGUUAAACCGUUUUGGAAAUAAAAUAAAAUAUAGAUGUAUGCGUACAUAUAUAUAAAUAUAAUAAUCAUUAGAAAAAAUAAAUAUAUAUACAUGUACACGUAAAAUAUAUUAAAAAUAAUUAAAUAAUAUCUACAGUAUCAAAAUUAAUUAAAUACAAAAAAAUAAACAUGUGUACAUGAGAAAAAUAUUAAUUAGAAACAUACAUAUGUGCAUAUAUAUAUAAAUAUAAAAAAUAUUCAUUAGAAACAAUAUACGAAUCAAUAAAUAAAUUAUACACAAAUCAACAAAAUAAGAACAAGCUACAGAAAAUAAGAACGCAAGAGAGAGAAAUUUGAGUAAAUACUCUUAAAAAUUAUUAUUACUCCCCAACUCCCCCCUUUACAAUGAAGGGAGAGGCAUCUAUUUAUAGUUGAGCCUCCCCAAAUCCAGCGGUACAGAUUAAUUACAUCAACGGCUAAGAUUAAAAGGUAUCUACAAAUUAAAUCUCUAAUAUUACAAAAUCAUAUAUUUUAAGAUUGCAUAUCAUAUCUAAGAUUACAUAUCAUAUCUAAGAUUGCAUAUUAUAUCUAAGAUUACAUAUCAUAUCUAAGAUUGCAUUUCCUUGAAGAUUAUGUUUCAAUAUGCAUCAUGCUUGUAGAUAGACCUUCAACCUUUUCAAGUAAUGGGCCAUCCCGAUCGAGCCAAAUGAUAUAAUUUUAGACUUUAUUUUAUUAUUUUGAGUUUAUUAUUUUCUUAUGAGCCCGGGCUAAAUUGGCCUAUUACAUAUCAUACGCAAACAUUUAACCAUAUAUUAAUAAUUAAACUUUCCAAAAAUUUUCAAAGCAAUCAAUAUCAAAUAACAAUCUAAGAGGAUUGAGAAACACCAUUUCUUACUUUAUUGAAGCUUUCUCUCUUUACCUUCAAUUUUAUCUGUUAAGACUCAAACCAAACCUUUGCUGAAAGUGGAGAGAUUUAAGGUGGAAAUGAGUUUUGGAGAUGAGUUUAUUAGUGAUUUUGACAAAAACUCAAGAUUUGAGCAGUGGGUUUUAAAGCGAUUUCAAGAAAAAGCAAGAAAAUUAAAGAGAAGAAGACAGACUCCAUGGGAUGGGGGGUGGUCAUGCAACAAGUUGAUGGAGAUGAGUUUUUCAUUUUUUCAAGAAAAUUAAAGAGAAGAAGACAGACUCCAUGGGAUGGGGGGUGGUCAUGCAACAAGUUGAUG